GACGAACGCUGGCGGCGUGCCUAACACAUGCAAGUCGAGCGGAGACAGUGAGUAGCUUGCUAUGAGCUGUUUUAGCGGCGGACGGGUGAGUAACGCGUGAGCAACCUUUCCCAGACAGGGGAAUAACACACCGAAAGGUGUACUAAUACCGCAUAAGACCACGGGAUCACAUGGUUCUGGGGUAAAAGAAUUAUCGGUUUGGGGUGGGCUCGCGUCCGAUUAGGUAGUUGGUGAGGUAACGGCCCACCAAGCCGACGAUCGGUAGCCGACCUGAGAGGGUGAUCGGCCACAUUGGGACUGAGACACGGCCCAAACUCCUACGGGAGGCAGCAGUGGGGAAUAUUGGGCAAUGGGGGGAACCCUGACCCAGCAACGCCGCGUGGAGGAAGAAGGUUUUCGGAUCGUAAACUCCUGUCCUUGGAGACGAGUAGAAGACGGUAUCCAAGGAGGAAGCCCCGGCUAACUACGUG
rnacentral:rRNA from 1 species